CAGCAGCCGCGGUAAUACAGAGGGUGCGAGCGUUAAUCGGAUUUACUGGGCGUAAAGCGUGCGUAGGCGGACAUUUAAGUCAGGGGUGAAAUCCCGCAGCUCAACUGCGGAACUGCCUUUGAUACUGGGUAUCUUGAGUAUGGAAGAGGUUAGUGGAAUUGCGAGUGUAGAGGUGAAAUUCGUAGAUAUUCGCAGGAACACCAGUGGCGAAGGCGGCUAACUGGUCCAUAACUGACGCUGAGGUGCGAAAGCGUGAGGAGCAAACAGGAUUAGAUACCCCCGUAGUCCCUGUCUCUUAUAC
rnacentral:rRNA from 1 species